rnacentral:rRNA from 1 species
UCACUUGUCCCUUAAAUGGGGACGCGUAUGAAAGGCAACAUGAGAGAGAACCUGUCUCCUAAGGAAUGCCAAUGAAAUUGAACUGCCAGUUCAAAAGCUGGUAUAAAAAAGCAAGACAAAAAGACCCUGUGGAACUUUAAUUAACUGCUUUACAUAAUAAAACCAGUAAUUUCAGUUGGGACAACUUUAGAAAAAAUAAACUUCCUAAUUUUACUAGACUAACUAGUCCAAAACAACCAUGACCCAGUAGUACUGAUUAACGAAACAAGCUACCCCAGGGAUAACAGCGCUACCUUCUCAAAGAGUUCAUAUCAACAAGAAGAUCUACGACCUCGAUGUUGGAUCAGGGUACCCAGACGGUG